CUGACUAGCAUGCCAUUGCCGUGGCUUGAGAGCCCAAGUGAGAGCUGGAGUAAGUACUUCAGGAGAUUAAAGAUUAAGGGAGCGAACAGAGUUCAACCCCACCUACCAGUUCCCUGAGAAAAGGCUAAUCUGCCUAGGAGGCCUCCCGCAGGUGCAGGUAAACCAGGUGUCAUCCAGCUCAUACUGGUCUGGCAGGUCGCUAAGGAGUCUGCAGCGUGGGCUCAGGAGAGGCAGGAGACACUUAAGUCCCUUUCAGAGAGGAUGAGGAACUAGCACACUGUCUUCCAGACUCAGACCCUGGAUAUCAUUGGACUGCUAAUGGAAAAUAGGGCCUGAGGCAGAGAUGGAAAGAACAACAUCCAAAAAAGAGGCGAUUCAACUCUACAACAAAGCCUGUGGGCAAGUUCAGACCAGAAACUCCCAAAACAAAAGGGGAUAUGACUGUCCUUGGCUGGGCCCCAAGCAUGAAGCCAAGACCUGUGCUGGAGUCUCAGAAAUGUCAGGGUCCAACCCCCUUGGUGAUCUGUGUAUGCCAUGUACAGGGGACCCUGGGAUCUGCACCACAGGACCUGAGGGGUAGGGGGCAAGGGGCAGGGGCAUGGAGCUAGCUGGGCAGAUCAACUGCCUGAUUUCUGGCCUGUAUCAUACUUUCUUCCGGAAGUCUUCUGGCUCAAUAAAGUCAUACCUCUUAGGUGCAGAUGGUUUUCAUUCCCAGAGGAAAGUCAGAACAAUGGGUAGUUUAAAAGGGGGGCACAGAAGGCCCAAAUCACCUUCUUGAAGAUGGCCAAAGCAGACCAACACUUCUCCACUUCUUGAGGGACAUC